CCUUUGCUCAAGAUCUAGAGAGAAGGAGAGAGAGAAGAAGAAGGUUUAGAGAGAGAAGGAGAUGUGUUUUAGGGUUAGGGUUGAGAAAAUGAGAGGAAAAGCUCAUCCCUCAAUCUCAAAUACAACCAACUUAACACAUAUACACAAAACCCCCUCAACUUUGCAAUAUUUGAAGCAGCCCAACCCGGGCCAUUUUCGCAUACG
rnacentral:lncRNA from 1 species